rnacentral:tRNA from 1 species
GGGCCCAUAGCUCAGCCUGGUAGAGCGCCCGGCUCUUAACCGGAAGGUCAGGGGUUCAAAUCCCCUUGGGCCCG